rnacentral:tRNA from 1 species
GGAGAAAUGGCCGAGUGGCUUAAGGCGUUGGUUUGCUAAAUCAAUUUACAAAUCGUUUUGUAACGCAGGUUCGAAUCCUGUUUUCUCCG